rnacentral:rRNA from 1 species
GAUUAACGCUGGCGGCGUGCCUAACACAUGCAAGUCGAGCGGCAGCGAGUUUUACACUGAAUUCUGGAAGCUUCUAGUUGCAAGAGAAGAUUUAUUCAAGAAUUUUGUGUAAAAUGUCGGCGAGCGGCGGACGGCUGAGUAACGCGUGGGAACGUACCCCAAAGUGAGGGAUAACGCAUCGAAAGGUGUGCUAAUACCGCAUAUGGUCUUCGGAUUAAAGCCUUCGGGCGCUUUGGGAACGGCCUGCGUAAGAUUAGAUAGUUGGUGUGGUAAUGGCCUACCAAGUCGACGAUCUCUAACCUGUAUGAGAGGAUGAGCAGUCAGACUGGAACUGAGACGCGGUACAGAAUCCUACGGGAUGCAGCAGUGAGGAAUCGUCCACAAUGGGCGAAAGCAUGAUGGAGCAACGCCGCGUGCAGGAUGAAGGCCUUCGGGUUGUAAACUGCUUUUAUAAGUGAGGAUUAUGACAGUAACUUAUGAAUAAGGAUCGGCUAACUACGUG